UACGUAGGGGGCUAGCGUUGUCCGGAAUCAUUGGGCGUAAAGAGCGUGUAGGCGGUCCGGUAAGUCCGCUGUGAAAGUCGGGGGGCUCAACCCUCGAAUGCCGGUGGAUACUGUCGGGCUAGAGUCCGGAAGGGGCGAGUGGAAUUCCUGGUGUAGCGGUGAAAUGCGCAGAUAUCAGGAGGAACACCAAUGGCGAAGGCAGCUCGCUGGGGACGUGACUGACGCUGAGACGCGAAAAGCGUGGGGGAGCAAACAGG
rnacentral:rRNA from 1 species